GCGGAGGAAAAGAAACCAACAGGGAUUGCCUCAGUAACGGCGAGUGAAGCGGCAUCAGCUCAAAUUUGAAAUCUGGUCUCACGAUCCGAGUUGUAAUUUGUAGAGAAUGCUUCGGGCGAGGUCCGGUCUAAGUUCCUUGGAACAGGACGUCAUAGAGGGUGAGAAUCCCGUAUGCGACCGGGUGCCUCCGCCCAUGUGAAGCUUCUUCGACGAGUCGAGUUGUUUGGGAAUGCAGCUCAAAAUGGGUGGUAAAUUUCAUCUAAAGCUAAAUACUGGCCAGAGACCGAUAGCGCACAAGUAGAGUGAUCGAAAGAUGAAAAGCACUUUGGAAAGAGAGUUAAACAGUACGUGAAAUUGUUGAAAGGGAAGCGCUUGCAACCAGACUUGCGCGUGGCCGAUCAUCCGGUGUUCUCACCGGUGCACUCGGUUGCGCUCAGGCCAGCAUCGGUUUCGGUGGUUGGAUAAAGGCCCGGGGAAUGUAGCUCCUCUCGGGGAGUGUUAUAGCCCUGGGUGCAAUGCAGCCUACCGGGACCGAGGACCGCGCUUCGGCUAGGAUGCUGGCGUAAUGGUUGUAAGCGACCCGUCUUGAAACACGGAC
rnacentral:rRNA from 1 species